GGACAUACUUGUCAAGUUGACCUCGACGUAUCAAUGCCUCAAUUUUAUCCUUCGAUUGUCGGCACUCCUCAGUGUUAUGGUCGUGGUUUUGAUGGUAACGACAGUACUUUCUUUUGUCUUUUUUUUUGAUGAGGCUCUCAAAGGAUUAGGUUGGCGAAGAUAUCCCUGAUUCUCAAUCUCCAUCAAUAUCUGAGCUCGAGGGGCGGAUAGCGAAGUGUAAGAAUCA
rnacentral:lncRNA from 1 species